AAGUAGGUACGCGGAAAUAGCGAUUUACGGAGCCGAAUUUUGUGCUAAAAUUCUGUGACUCGUUUUUUUGACGUUUUUUUUAGGUAGCCUAAGGCAAACGUAUUUUUGAGAAGUUCCUUUUCGGAAACAUAUAUAAACAUAGUAUAUUUUUGGAAAGAAGAAGAGUUAAGCUUGUUUUUUAUGUUAUUUUUACGUACAGUUGUCUUACCAUUUUUUGGAGCAUUUGGCUCAUGAAAAAUAGGUUGGUGUUUACAUGUCAAAUUCUUGUCGAAGGACUCUUUAUUCCGCUUUUUUGAUUCUUUAAAUAAGUUUUUACAUGCAUUUUCUUUGCACAUACCAAAUUUUAUUGAAAAAUAUUGUGUAGCAGAUAGUUAAAUCAGUUUAGCACUUUUAGUACCUAAUUUCUGUUUUUCCGAUUUUUUUUUAGCGGAUUUCCCGUCUCAUUAUUUUGAGUAGGGUUAGGCAAACGAUUUUUUGUUGGUUUUUUUUACAGAAACGUAUAUACACAUAGUAUAUUUUCAGAAAGAAGAAGAGUUAGGCUUGUUUUUUGUGUUAUUUUUUUACAUGAUUGUCAUACCUUUUUUUUGACUAUUUUGCUCAUGAAAAUUAUGUUGAUGUUUACUUGUUCAAUUAUUGUUGAAGGAAUCUAUAUUCCGCUUUUUUGAUUUUUUAAAUAAGUUUCUACAUGCAUUUCUUUUGCACCUGCCAAAUUUCAUGAAAAAAUAUUAUGUAGCAAUUAGUUAAUUCAGUUAAACACUUUUGGUACCUAAUUUCUGUUUUCAAAAAUAGCCGAGGUGGGGCUGAGGGGAAGAGAGUUUUUUUUCUUCUUAAAAAAUGUUUAUUGCGUAUUGUUUCACUUAGAUUGUUAGUAAUUAAAAAAAUGAAUAAUAUAAAUGAACUGGGUAAUCAAACAGAUAGUAAUUUCAUAUGUUUUUUCAUAAUAAUACUAUUGUUUAUUACUUUUACAAGUAUUUUUUUGUUAAACUUUUGAAAAUCAUUGACUAGAUAAAACCUACUCAAUGCUUUUUUUUAAGUAACCCCUAAUUUUCGUUAUUUACACCUUUAUUUUAUUUGUUAUUUACACAGUACUUUUUUUUGCUCUUUACAAAAUUGUUUUAUUGGAUUUGUUGCCAAAAAUGUGUAUUUUUUUUUUAUAUAUUACACCUUUUUUAACAUUAGCUUCAUCGUCAUCUGAUGCAGUUGUUUUAUCAACAUCUGCCAGUGGCAUAUUUUUUCAGAUCUGUAUAGAGUUAAUGUCGAAAUCAAAGUUAUUUUGGUUAAUUUUUUUACCUUUAGCUUUGUCACCAUCUGCUAUGGUUGUCCAAUCAACUCAGCCUUUCACUGGUAAGUUUGUAUAUUGCAAUUUCGGUCAUGUUUAUAUAAGUAGAAAUUUAAUGUAUGCUUUGGUUUAAUUCAUAUGUUUUUUAUCUCAAGUCAUUUCUUAAACAACUGUGAUUAGUAAAUUUAAAAGCUAUUAUUUUUUAACUUGUGAAAGAUUUAUUGCCAAUAUCUUUUUUUUUUGUAGAUAGCAUCCAUUUUGUUUUUAAUUUUAGUUGUAGUUCCAUCUAUGUAUUGAUUUAAUCCCAUUUUCAACUUUUUUCGUUUAUUUUUAUAUUGCAUCUUUUCGUAAUAUUAGUUGCAUCUACAUCCUUCUUUUUUGCUAUUAAUUACACCUUUUUUACAUUAAGCUUUAUCGACACCUACUGUGGAUGUCGAAAUCAUUUCUUUUGUUAUGGCUAUACUAUAGAUUUAAUAUCAAACUCAAUUUUAUUUUUGUUUACAGCUUUUUUUUUACUUUUAGUUUCAUCAACAUCUACCACAUUUAGAAAGUUUAAAAGCUAUUUCUUUGUUCACUUUGUAUGUAAUAUGUGUAUGUAAGGCCAAUUUCUAAUACUUUUUCACUUGGUUACACCUUUUUUUAAUCUAUAUCUGCCACAGUUACUAAGUUUAAAAGCUAUUACUUUUUAAUCUCUGUAAUAAUUUAAUGCCUAAAUCAAAUAUUUUUUUGGUUGAGUACAUCCUUUUCACAAAUAGUAAGUUUAAAAACUAAAUAUUUUUCAGCAGUGUUUUGAUUUUUCUAAAAAAGUCAUUUAUUUUGUUAAUUACAUUUUUUUUUUGAUUUUUAGCUGCAUCUACAUCUGCUUUGGUCGGGUUUAUAUAAAAUGCUUCAUAAUGCUUUGAAAUCUUAACUAUCAUUGAAAAGAUGAAUUUAUACAAACACUUAUCUGCAAAACAACUUGAAGAUUUAGAUGAUGUGAUGUCUGAAAGAAUUGCUGGCAGAAAACUCUGUCAUGAAUGGUAUGAUACUGACUCAUCAAAGUCUAUCAUUUAUGAUGGUAGACUAGAAAAAGCAAAAGACAAAAUGAUAGAAUUUACACUAUUUCUCACUGAAAACAAGAUAAAUUUUUUUUGAUAGAUGGCUCUGGCUUACCUUCACAUGGUGUCUAUCAUUAAAAAUGAUUUAUUUAGUUCAUAAAUGGAAUUCAAAACAUAAAUCAAUGCAAGCCACAAAACUUGCUGUAUCUAUUUGCAGUCUUGCAACAUGGUAUUGGGCGGAGAGGGGGCGGCUUGCACCCCCUUUUAUGAAGGCAAUUUAUACACCACUGUAACAUGGUAUUGGGAGGAAGGGGGGCGGCUUACACCCCCUUCCAUGAAGUCAAUUUAUACACCACUAGUUACUAUUUUUCCAAGUAUCGAAAUAUAUUUUUUAUUUUUUAUACUAAAAUUAAUUGUUUUAGUAAAGAUUGAAAUAUUUAAAAGAAUAAAAUUUUGAUAGGGUGUGUUAAACCUUAUUCAAAACCCAACACCCGACUUUGAGAUAGACUUGUAAUAUUCACUAGUGAUGUGGAAUAAAAUAAUAACAAUUUUUUGUAUAUA